ACGAACCGUACGAACGUUAUUCGGAAUCACUGGGCUUAAAGGGUGCGUAGGCGGCGCGGAAAGUUGGGUGUGAAAGCCCUCGGCUCAACCGAGGAAUUGCGCCCAAAACUUCCGUGCUUGAGGGAGAUAGAGGUGAGCGGAACUUAGGGUGGAGCGGUGAAAUGCGUUGAUAUCCUAAGGAACACCGGUGGCGAAAGCGGCUCACUGGAUCUCUUCUGACGCUGAGGCACGAAAGCUAGGGUAGCGAACGG
rnacentral:rRNA from 1 species